GGCCAGACUCCUACGGGAGGCAGCAGUGGGGAAUAUUGCACAAUGGGGGAAACCCUGAUGCAGCGACGCCGCGUGAGUGAAGAAGUACUUCGGUAUGUAAAGCUCUAUCAGCAGGGAAGAAAAUGACGGUACCUGACUAAGAAGCCCCGGCUAACUACGUGCCAGCAGCCGCGGUAAUACGUAGGGGGCAAGCGUUAUCCGGAUUUACUGGGUGUAAAGGGAGCGUAGACGGCAUGGCAAGUCAGAUGUGAAAGCCCGGGGCUCAACCCUGGGACUGCUCUGGAAACUGUAAAGCUGGAGUGCGGGAGGGGCAGGCGGAAUUCCUGGUGUAGCGGUGAAAUGCGUAGAUAUCAGGAGGAACACCGGCGGCGAGGGCGGCCUGCUGGACCGUAACUGACGUUGAGGCUCGAAAGCGUGGGGAGCAAACAGGAUUAGAUACCCUAGUA
rnacentral:rRNA from 1 species